AGGAUGAACGCUGGCGGCGUGCUUAACACAUGCAAGUCGAACGAUGAAGCCGGAGCUUGCUCUGGUGGAUUAGCGGCGAACGGGUGAGUAACACGUGAGUAACCUGCCCUUGACUCUGAGAUAAGCGUUGGAAACGACGUCUAAAUACCGGAUACGACGCGCGAAGGCAUCUUCUGCGCGUGGAAAGAAUUUCGGCAAGGAUGGACUCGCGGCCUAGUCAGCUAGUUGGUGAGGUAACGGCCACAAGGCGACGGACGGGUAGCCGGACCUGAGAGGGUCGACCGGCAACGCUCGGGACUGAGACACGGCCAGCUCGUACGGAGCAGCAGUGGGAA
rnacentral:rRNA from 1 species